CCUACGGGUGGCAGCAGUGAAAAAUGAUAUACUAGGACGGUAGAUGAGGAGCAAGCCCCGGCUAACUACGUGCCAGCAGCCGCGGUAAUACGUAGGGGGCGAGCGUUGUCCGGAAUCACUGGGCGUAAAGGGCGCGUAGGCGGUAAUAUAAGUCAGAUGUGAAAGGUGGGGGCUCAACCCCUAGAGUGCAACUGAUACUGUAUAACUUGAGUGUGAGAGAGGGAAGCGGAAUUCCUAGUGUAGCGGUGAAAUGCGUAGAUAUUAGGAGGAACACCAGUGGCGAAGGCGGCUGUCUGGCUCAUAACUGACGCUGAGGCGCGAAAGCGUGGGGAGCAAACAGGAUUAGAUACCCGGGUAGUC
rnacentral:rRNA from 1 species